rnacentral:lncRNA from 1 species
GAGGCAGUAUGCAGAUGUCCAGCUGCUUACAUGAGGAGCUCUGGGAAGAGCUGAGAGUAGCCCAGGUCCACCUCUGGACCUGGAGGGCCCAGGCCUGGCCAGGUGAACUCUUCCCAGUGCCUCUGGCUGUGCUUUCCCUGACAUCUACAAUAAAACCUCCCCCUUAACCAU